rnacentral:rRNA from 1 species
UACAGAGGUCCCAAGCGUUGUUCGGAUUCACUGGGCGUAAAGGGUGCGUAGGUGGUUAGGUAAGUCCGAUGUGAAAUCUCCAGGCUCAACCUGGAAAUGGCAUUGGAUACUAUUUAGCUUGAGGAGUGGAGGGGGGACUGGAAUUCUCGGUGUAGCAGUGAGAUGCGUAGAUAUCGAGAGGAACACCAGUGGCGAAGGCGAGUCCCUGGACACUUCCUGACACUGAGGCACGAAAGCUAGGGGAGCAAACAGG